UGCCGAAACCCGUGCUCGAACCAGGGACCUUUAGAUCUUCAGUCUAACGCUCUCCCAACUGAGCUAUUUCGGC